rnacentral:rRNA from 1 species
GCUAGUAAUCGCGAAUCAGCAUGUCGCGGUGAAUACGUUCCCGGGCCUUGUACACACCGCCCGUCACACCAUGAGAGUUGGCAAUACCCAACGUACGUGAUCUAACCCGCAAGGGAGGAAGCGUCCUAAGGUAGGGUCAGCGAUUGGGGUGAAGUCGUAACAAGGUAGC